rnacentral:lncRNA from 1 species
UCUCUCUCUCUCUCUCUCUCUCUCGCUCUCUCUCUUCCUUCCCGCCCCGAGCCUGCCUUACCUUGGUGACGUUGACUGCUCACAUUGAAGCCCAUUAAAGGCGGAGCAGCUUCUUAAAAAAGGGUCAUCCUUUUUAGGCGGAAUUACAAAAUUCCCGGUAAUUUUAUGAUAAUUGUGCACGUACCCUGCGCAAAUAUGUCCGGACUCUUAUACCCCGUCCUUCGUCGGAGAGCAUCAAGCGGCCCCACCCAUGACAAUAAGUGAUAGCAUAAAGGAGGGGGGUACAUCGGUCUUUUUACUCUAGUGUGGCGCCACCUCCACACAAGUGGCCAUACCAAAACUUCAUUUUCCUGGAAUGCACGAGGAAAAUAAAAAUAAACAGUGGACAUAUGUAGCCAUCUAGAUAAAGUUUCGAUUUUUUGAAUUCUAAUAUAUGUAUUUAUUUAUCUUGCCCUUGUCUCAACUUUGCCAACUCCAAAGCAUAGUUAAAUUAAAAAUUUAAGAAUCUCCCCACUCGAUGGUGAC